rnacentral:tRNA from 1 species
CAGGGAGACAACAAAAUGUUUAAUAUUAUUAUUUUGUCACCUUAGGUCGAUCGGUAUCUCACAUUCUUAAUUUAUUAAGGAUUUUAUUUCCUAAGUUUUUUCUAGGUCACACCCAUUACUUUUCCUGGGCCAUUAGCUCAGGUGGUUAGAGCGCACCCCUGAUAAGGGUGAGGUCCCUGGUUCAAGUCCAGGAUGGCCCAUAUCUCUAUGUUGGGGGUAUAGCUCAGUUGGUAGAGCGCCUGCUUUGCAAGCAGGAUGUCAGCGGUUCGAGUCCGCUUACCUCCACUGAUUACCACCUCUUCCAUAAUUAUUAAGGAAAUGUUUUGAGUAGUGAUCAAAUUCUGAACGAAUCUAGCUUCCUAAUGAAUUCAUUAAGAUGCUGGACUCAUUGAUUUAUUUUCAUUGUUUUCAGAGAACCNUUGACAACUGCAUAGAUUAUUUUUAAAGACAAUAAGCAUCUUUAUGAUGCAGAUUUAUUAUUUGUGCGAAUGCAUUAAUAACAAUUCUAUUAAGCUGAUGCUUCAAUUAUGAAGUUAUU